GAUGAACGCUGGCGGCGUGCCUAAUACAUGCAAGUCGAGCGAACAGACGAGGAGCUUGCUCCUCUGACGUUAGCGGCGGACGGGUGAGUAACACGUGGAUAACCUACCUAUAAGACUGGGAUAACUUCGGGAAACCGGAGCUAAUACCGGAUAAUAUAUUGAACCGCAUGGUUCAAUAGUGAAAGACGGUUUUGCUGUCACUUAUAGAUGGAUCCGCGCCGCAUUAGCUAGUUGGUAAGGUAACGGCUUACCAAGGCAACGAUGCGUAGCCGACCUGAGAGGGUGAUCGGCCACACUGGAACUGAGACACGGUCCAGACUCCUACGGGAGGCAGCAGUAGGGAAUCUUCCGCAAUGGGCGAAAGCUUGACGGAGCAACGCCGCGUGAGUGAUGAAGGUCUCGGAUCGUAAAACUCUGUUAUUAGGGAAGAACAAAUGUGUAAGUAACUAUGCACGUCUUGACGGUACCUAAUCAGAAAGCCACGGCUAACUACGUG
rnacentral:rRNA from 1 species